rnacentral:rRNA from 1 species
CUGGCUCAGGAUGAACGCUAGCGACAGGCCUAACACAUGCAAGUCGAGGGGCAUCGGGGCGAGGAGCAAUCCUUGCCGCCGGCGACCGGCGCACGGGUGAGUAACGCGUAUGCGACCUGCCCGUUGCAGGGGGAUAAUCGGGAGAAAUCCCGUCUAAUACCGCGUAAUGCCGCGGGGCUGCAUGGCCCUGCGGCCAAAGGGAGCGAUUCCGGCAACGGAUGGGCAUGCGUGACAUUAGCUAGUUGGCGGGGCAACGGCCCACCAAGGCGACGAUGUCUAGGGGUUCUGAGAGGAAGGUCCCCCACACUGGUACUGAGACACGGACCAGACUCCUACGGGAGGCAGCAGUGAGGAAUAUCGGUCAAUGGGCGCGAGCCUGAACCAGCCAAGUCGCGUGAGGGAUGACGGCCCUACGGGUUGUAAACCUCUUUUGUCGGGGAGCAAAUUCCGCCACGUGUGGCGGAGUCGAGAGUACCCGAAGAAAAAGCAUCGGCUAACUCCGUGCCAGCAGCCGCGGUAAUACGGAGGAUGCGAGCGUUAUCCGGAUUUAUUGGGUUUAAAGGGUGCGUAGGCGGACUGUCAAGUCAGCGGUAAAAUACGGGGGCUCAACCUCCGCCCGCCGUUGAAACUGACGGUCUUGAGUGGGCGAGAAGUAUGCGGAAUGCGUGGUGUAGCGGUGAAAUGCAUAGAUAUCACGCAGAACUCCGAUUGCGAAGGCAGCAUACCGGCGCCCGACUGACGCUGAAGCACGAAAGCGUGGGUAUCGAACGGGAUUAGGUACCCUGGUAGUCCACGCAGUAAACGAUGAAUACUAGCUGUCCGGGGCGAAUGAGCCCUGGGUGGCACAGCGAAAGCGUUAAGUAUUCCACCUGGGGAGUACGCCGGCAACGGUGAAACUCAAAGGAAUUGACGGGGGCCCGUACAAGCGGAGGAACAUGUGGUUUAAUUCGAUGAUACGCGAGGAACCUUACCCGGGCUCAAACGACACAGGAACGUACCUGAAAGGGUUCGGCUCUACGGAGCCUGUGUCGAGGUGCUGCAUGGUUGUCGUCAGCUCGUGCCGUGAGGUGUCGGCUUAAGUGCCAUAACGAGCGCAACCCCCAUCGACAGUUGCUAACAGGUCAGGCUGAGGACUCUGUCGAGACUGCCGGCGCAAGCUGCGAGGAAGGCGGGGAUGACGUCAAAUCAGCACGGCCCUUACGUCCGGGGCGACACACGUGUUACAAUGGCAGGUACAGCGGGAAGCCACCUGGCGACAGGGAGCGGAACCCGAAAGCCUGUCUCAGUUCGGAUUGGAGUCUGCAACCCGACUCCAUGAAGCUGGAUCCGCUAGUAAUCGCGCAUCAGCCACGGCGCGGUGAAUACGUUCCCGGGCCUUGUACACACCGCCCGUCAAGCCAUGGAAGCCGGGGGUGCCUGAAGUGCGCUGCCGCGAGGAGCGCCCUAGGGUAAAACCGGUGACUGGGGCUAAGUCGUAACAAGGUAACCGU